rnacentral:rRNA from 1 species
AUUGAACGCUGGCGGCAGGCCUAACACAUGCAAGUCGAGCGGAUGAAGGUAGCUUGCUAUCUGAUUCAGCGGCGGACGGGUGAGUAAUGCCUAGGAAUCUGCCUGGUAGUGGGGGACAACGUUUCGAAAGGAACGCUAAUACCGCAUACGUCCUACGGGAGAAAGUGGGGGAUCUUCGGACCUCACGCUAUCAGAUGAGCCUAGGUACGAUUAGCUAGUUGGUGAGGUAAAGGCUCACCAAGGCGACGAUCGUUAACUGGUCUGAGAGGAUGAUCAGUCACACUGGAACUGAGACACGGUCCAGACUCCUACGGGAGGCAGCAGUGGGGAAUAUUGGACAAUGGGCGAAAGCCUGAUCCAGCCAUGCCGCGUGUGUGAAGAAGGUCUUCGGAUUGCAAAGCACUUUAAGUUGGGAGGAAGGGCAGUAAGUUAAUACCUUGCUGUUUUGACGUUACCAACAGAAUAAGCACCGGCUAACUCUGUGCCAGCAGCCGCCGUAAAAC